GAAAGUGUGCCCGAGCCCGUCCUAAGGAUUACUUUGAUAGAGUAUAUAACAGGGGUUCAAAUCCCCUCACUUCCC
rnacentral:tRNA from 1 species